GACGAACGCUGGCGGCGUGCUUAACACAUGCAAGUCGAACGGAAAGGCCCUGCUUUUGUGGGGUGCUCGAGUGGCGAACGGGUGAGUAACACGUGAGUAACCUGCCCUUGACUUUGGGAUAACUUCAGGAAACUGGGGCUAAUACCGGAUAGGAGCUCCUGCUGCAUGGUGGGGGUUGGAAAGUUUCGGCGGUUGGGGAUGGACUCGCGGCUUAUCAGCUUGUUGGGGGGGUAGUGGCUUACCAAGGCUUUGACUGGUAGCCGGCCUGGGAGGGGGACCGGCCACAUUGGGCCUGAGAUACGGCCCAGACUCCUACGGGCGGCAGCAGUGGGGAAUAUUGCACAAUGGGGGGAAGUCUGAUGCAGCAACGCCCCGUGCGGGAUGCCGGCUUUCGGGUUGUAAACCGCUUUCGCCUGUGCCGAAGCGUGAGUGACGGUAAUGGGUAAAGAAGCACCGGCUAACUACGUG
rnacentral:rRNA from 1 species